AUUACGGUUUAAUCACAUUUUGAAUGUGGAAUUUUCAUUCUACUCACUUGCAAUAUAUCCUACUUGAGUCAUUUUACAUGGGUCAACAAUCUUAACGUUAAUAUCAUGAGGUUCUAAAUUAAAACCAGUUGACAAUAAGUAAAAGCGCUUAUGUAUCUUAUACAUUACUCUAGAAGCCUAUCAACUUCUGAUAUGGCGAAUAGAAACAUUCUAAUACCCCUUUUCCGCUUAGAAUGGACAUCUAAACAUGAAGUUUGAGGAAAUGAACAUACAAAGGUAUUUUAGGAAUUAUCGGCCUACAAUUCAAAACUAAUUGGUGGUACUGAGUGAAUUAUUAUAUGGUAC
rnacentral:sRNA from 1 species